rnacentral:pre_miRNA from 1 species
AGUGGGAUAAUUGGGUCAAAUUGUUGAUUCUUUCUUAGCUUUUUGAGGAAUCUCCAUACUGCUUUCCAGAGUGAUUGCACCAAUGUGUACUCCAACCAGCAAU